rnacentral:rRNA from 1 species
GGCGUAAAGAGCUCGUAGGUGGUUUGUCGCGUUGUUCGUGAAAUCUCACGGCUUAACUGUGAGCGUGCGGGCGAUACGGGCAGACUUGAGUACUGCAGGGGAGACUGGAAUUCCUGGUGUAGCGGUGGAAUGCGCAGAUAUCAGGAGGAACACCGGUGGCGAAGGCGGGUCUCUGGGCAGUAACUGACGCUGAGGAGCGAAAGCGUGGGGAGCGAACAGGAUUAGAUACCCUGGUAGUCCACGCCGUAAACGGUGGGUACUAGGUGUGGGUUUCCUUCCUUGGGAUCCGUGCCGUAGCUAACGCAUUAAGUACCCCGCCUGGGGAGUACGGCCGCAAGGCUAAAACUCAAAGAAAUUGACGGGGGCCCGCACAAGCGGCGGAGCAUGUGGAUUAAUUCGAUGCAACGCGAAGAACCUUACCUGGGUUUGACAUGCACAGGACGCCGGCAGAGAUGUCGGUUCCCUUGUGGCCUGUGUGCAGGUGGUGCAUGGCUGUCGUCAGCUCGUGUCGUGAGAUGUUGGGUUAAGUCCCGCAACGAGCGCAACCCUUGUCUCAUGUUGCCAGCGGGUAAUGCCGGGGACUCGUGAGAGACUGCCGGGGUCAACUCGGAGGAAGGUGGGGAUGACGUCAAGUCAUCAUGCCCCUUAUGUCCAGGGCUUCACACAUGCUACAAUGGCCGGUACAAAGGGCUGCGAUGCCGCGAGGUUAAGCGAAUCCUUUUAAAGCCGGUCUCAGUUCGGAUCGGGGUCUGCAACUCGACCCCGUGAAGUCGGAGUCGCUAGUAAUCG